rnacentral:misc_RNA from 1 species
GGUGGAGGGGCAACUCUUCAUUCAGUGGCGAACGGGUGAGUAAUACAUCGGAACGUACCCCGUAGUGGGGGAUAACUCGGCGAAAGCCGUGCUAAUACCGCAUAUGCUCUACGGAGGAAAGCAGGGGACCUGGGAGGGCCUUGUGCUAUGGGAGCGGCCGAUGUCCGAUUAGCUAGUUGGUGGGGUAAUGGCCUACCAAGCGGACGAUCUGUAGCUGGUCUGAGAGGACGACCAGCCACACUGGGACUGUGACACGGCCCGAACUCCUACGGGAGGCUUCUGUAUCUGGAU